GUUCAUUCUUCCAAGUAUAAAAGGAAUCUUAAAAUUCAUUUUCAGAGAAUGUUUCCUUCAUCAUGUAUGUAUAUACAUAUACAUACAUAUAUAGGUAUAUGGAUAUAUAUAUAUAUAUAUAUAUACAUAUACAUAUAUAUAUGGAUAUAUAUAUAUAUAUAUAUAUAUAUAUAUAUAUAUAUAUAUAUAUAUAUAUAUAUAUAUAUAUACAUAUAUAUCCAUAUCCAUAUAUAUAUAUAUGUAUAUAUAUAUAUAUAUAUAUAUAUAUAUAUAUAUAUACACACACGCAUGAAAUUUGAGUGGUGACCAUCGCUGCUGCCACUUGCGCUUGUUUUUAAAUUAAAAGGCAGAGAGAAAUAAGGCUUGGUAAGAAAUAAAAAUGGGUAGGAGAAAUUUCCCUCAAGGGGAAAAAUCGCUGAGUGAGAGACUUUUUAUUAACUUAUUUUAUUAUGCUUCUAUAUAAUUCAUUCUUGUUUUCUCUCUCUUUUUUUUUUUGUUUUUGCAUGUAGAUCCAGAAAAAUUUAAAUUGAUUUCGUUCUAAAUUGGAACCUAUCAAUGCACCACGACGUGGGGAUAAAACUAAGUGUUCCUUUAAAACAUUUAGGAGCUAUAUAAUCGAACAAUUUUCCGUUUCUUCUUUUUUUUUUAAAGAAGUGAGAGAAGGAGGGCAUUCAAAGACCCUAAGUCACUUACAGUCGAGAAUACCAUUAACAUUAUACAGAAUACGAUCGAUAUUUUCUCUUUCUUCUACUUUUAACACUAUAGGAGAGUUUGAUUGAUAGAAAGUCUUUAACGUAUUUAAGACUUCAUUCUGGGAGUUUUUCAAGGGUCUUAUUUAAUUUCUCCCAUUUAUAAUUGAUUUUUUCUUCCUCUCCAAUGCAUAUUCAGCUUCUUAUUCAUUCAGUUCUUCAUGUAGAUACGACUACCGUUCUCUCUACAAAUUACAUACAGGCCUUUUUUUGUUUUUCUUUGGUUGUGGGGCGUGCUAAUGUGAGAUCUUUGGUCGUUUUUCCUAUGCUGUAUAUCACAUCAGAAUGGUUUCGAAUUAGUUUCCAAUGUUUCAUCUCGCUAUGGCAUCUUCCCACCCUUUUAUUGUGGUACAUUCAGAUUUCGACCACUGUUCAACACACGUGUGGAAUAUGACUGGUGAUCAGCGCUUCUGCCACCUGCCUUUGCUUUUAGCUUAUGAGGCAGAGAGAAAUAGGGUUUGCUAAGAAGUAAAAGGGAAAGAAGAAAUCUCUCUCAAAGGAAGAGAAUCGCUGAGAGAUUUUUUUAAAUAUGCUUAUCUUAUUAUGCUUCUAUAUAAUUCAAUCUUAUUGGUGUUUCUUUCUUUCUUUUUGCACAUAGAUGCAUAUAUAUAUAUAUAUAUAUAUAUAUAUAUAUGUGUGUGUGUGUGUGUGUGUGUGUGUGUGUGUAUAUGUAUAUAUGUACAUAUAUAUAUAUAUAUAUAUAUAUAUAUAUACAUACAUACAUACAUACAUACAUACAUACAUACAUACAUACAUAUACACACACACACACACACACACACAUAUGUAUAUAUAUAUAGAUAUAUAGAUAUAUAUAAAUAUAUAUACAUACAUUUAUAUUACCAAAAGAGGGAAAUGGGAAUUUGGGGGUAUUAUUUAUUCUCCAUUACACGUGUUUCAUUUGCUAAUAGGAAUGACAAAGGUGUACAUGUAUAUAGAACAUGUAAAUCUUUGCUGUUCCUAUUAGAAAUGAACCAUGUAUGAAGUAGAAUAAAUACUAACAAAAAAUUUCCUUUUCCUUGUUUUGUUAUACAACAACUCUGCAAAUAAUAUUUCCACAAUUCUGAAUUUUAAUAUGUAUUUUGAUUAACAUACAAUAGUAAUUAUGUAUACGUAUUGAUUUAAUAAAAGAAUAAGUAGAUGUGCUUUAACAGGAAAGCGCUGGAUGUUGCCGUAGCAAUAUGAUAUAUUCAUAUUUGUACAUAUAUAUGUAUGUAUAUAUGUAUGUAUAUAUAUAUAUAUGUAUGUGUAUAUAUAUAUAUAUAUAUAUAUAUAUAUAUAUAUAUAUAUAUAUAUGUACAUGUAUGUAUAUGUGUGUAUGUAUAUAUACGUAUACAUUUAUUUCUGCAUACCUUUAUCAAACGUAAAUUUAAAAUAGAUUACAGUUUUUCUAACUUUAAAAUUCUGUCUGUGAAAAAUUGUGUCUGGGAGUAGAUACUUAUGUAGAACACCUAGUUACAGACAUAUAUCUCUAUAUAUAAAACUUAUAUAUAUAUAUAUAACAAACAGUAGUGCUCAUUUAUUAGUUGCUACUUAAUACACUAGAAUUUUAAGGUUUCUGAGACCAUUAAUUCUUCCCGCACGUGAUCAUUCUUGUUUUAAUCUCAUGAAUUAAAGAGAUGAUAGUAUCUCUUUUUUUAUUACCGAAUUUAUAUUCGCCAAUAACAUUUGUAUGUCUAGAAACGGUAAUAGAAUCAAAACAUUCUUCUUCCCAGUUGAACAGGAAAUUAUUGUGAAAACUAUUAAUAACAAAAGAUUAGAAUCGAAUUCAGUCAUGUCCUACAUAUAACUUGUUUCGAAUAAUAGCUCUAGACACGCUCACAUAUGCACAAGCACACAUACGCAAACAGGCACUCUCUCCCCCUCUCUCUGUCUUCUCUUCAUUGUGUUUUGUAGCAGUGGUGCAAAGUGUCACAUGCUUCACUUUUUCUAUAUUUAUAGAGUAUAUUAUAUAUUGAAUUAAUACACGGGCAAUGUAAAUGUCCUGUGCAUAUCAUUGAUAAAACUACACAAUUUUUUCUUGGGUCGUAACAUCUCAGUUUUUGUGAAAUCAAGCAAAAAGGACUGUCGAAAUUAAUACACUCCUCACCUCGUUCUACGCUGAUGGGUUCAGUAGAAUCGUAUGUUGAUUUAUAUUAUAUCUUUUAUUUAGGAUUAUAUUACAAUAUAUAUUCUGUUCUAAAGCAGAUAUGUAGAUAUGUAGAGCGUUCAAUACAGUUGCAUAUAAGGUUCAUAUAACCUAUCAAAUGGUCCGAUAUGUAUGCAAGAUAUCUGUUCCGUUUACAUUUAAGUACAUAAAAUGUGAUAUCUUAGGGGUUUUAUGCAUAUACGCUCCCGUCAUUUAAUAUAGGUCUGCAGAUUUGAUUUAUUCCCUUGUGGGAGUCUAAGUUACUGAUUUCUAUUACACGCUAUUUAUUCAUAUGUGGUUCUUGUUUUCACAUCUUGUUUACUUCUAUGCUUGUUAAACACGCACACACAUACAUAUAUAUAUAUAUAUAUAUAUAUAUAUAUAUAACUGGUUUCAAACGACGUUCAAUUUUUUACUAUAUUUAUUGAUUUGGUGGCAUCAAAUGAUGGCGUGGACUUUGUUUUAUCGGUAUAAUUCACUUUACAUUCUUUUAUAUGCAUAUCUCUUCUCUUUAUGCUUAUUAGCUUAUAAAAAGAGUUAAGUUAACCGAUUAAAUACUGAAUUCAAGCUGCUGAACUCCACGGGUACUUAAAUAUAUUUUUAUUUAUCAUAUUUUAAGUGUUGACCACUAUAGAACGAUCAUGAACACAUAUAUAUGUAUGUGUCUUUUGUACAUGUGUGUGUGCGUGUGUGUGUGUGCGUGCGUGUAUGUGUACAUGCAUUUGUGCUAUCGUUGUCUACAACACUCGAGUUCUCUCUGGACAAAUUCUGAUGUGUAUUGCAAUAUUCACUUCCUCACAGACACAUUUACCCCGUCAGUGUCGUGUCACGAAAUCAUUAUUCUCGAAGACUGAAAUUCAUCGGACUAAACAGGUAAUAGUUAGAAGUUGCCAUAUUCUGGCUGUAUGGUGGACGAUGAUCAGUAACCAGUUCAAUUUGUCACUUGCCUGAUUUCAUGCUUGAUCGUGCAUUGGUUUGCUGAAUAUGUAUCGUUUUCUUCUGUGGUUACUUCCUCUUGCUCGUCUUUGAUGACCUUUUGAGUGUUUCAAUAUACCUCUCGCUGUUCAGAAUGGAGACUCGAUCCAGAAAAUGAAGAAAAUGAAGCCAAAAACAACACACACACAUUGUACAUACAUAUAUAUACAUACACUGACACGCACACAAUAUAUAUACUUAUAUGACCAGAUAGACAUAGAUAGAUAGAUAGAUAGAUAGAUAGAUAGAUAGAUAGAUAGAUAGAUAGAUAGAUAGAUAGAUAGAUAGAUAGAUAGAUAGAUAGAUAGAUAGAUAGGUACGUAUCUAUGCAGGCCUCCGUUUGAGCGCCACUGUUUGUGUUGGUCAAUAUUUACUAGUGUUUAUGGGAAAAACACUCUUUUCGCGGUAAUAAAUUUUAGUACAGCACUUUGAGCUUUCUUCUAAUGUAUGAUAAUAUUAUUUCUUUACAUUUCCCAUCUAAAGGAAUGAAGACCGUCGCCGAGUGUGAGUUACGAUAACCAAAAUCAAUUAUCACGUUUGUAGAUAUUCGAAACCCUUUUUCUAUUUGCAAUGUAUAAAGUGGAAGAUAAAAAAUACGAGUAAGGUUAACUUAAAUGUAACGUCACAUAUGUAUGUUUCGUAUUUACAGUAUUUUUUUUUACUUUCCAUUCCAAACAGCGUCGAUGAAAUAAAACAUCACGUGAUAAUAAUUUAUAUCAAUUAAGAGAAAUCCAAAACAGUAAAACGGCCAGUUGUUUGAACCACAUAACAAACAACAGAAAGAGCAGUCAAAUCUUCCCCAAAUCAAAUUCCGACAUACCAAGAAACACAUUAUCAAAUGUAAUACAUUAUCUAUGCAUAAUGAUAAAGUGUCGGGAUGGUUGAAAUAUGUUAGUUAAUAGGUUUCCUCUUUCGGGGUUUGUUUUGAUUUUAAUAACAACGCUAGGAUGACACGCAAAUUCAUGAAGCGUUCCAUAUUUUCUAGAGACCGAUAGAUUAUUUACCAGACUUAAAAAUAAGUCCUUGGCUCAAUUUGUCCUACUAAAUCUCUUCAAGGAGGUGGCCCAGCAGAGCUGCAGUCUAAUAACUGAAACAAGUAAAAGACACGAAAAUAACAGCCAUUAAAAUCCCUGCGUUUUGACUUUUAUUAUUAUACUUAUAGGCUCUAAAAAUCCUUAUUUACGUACGGGAAAUUGUGACACCACAUCAUACGUUUUUUGUUUUUUUAGAAUUUCCAAAAUAUUCAUUUAUUUCUAUCAACGACCCCUAAUCACAAUUUGAUAAUUCUUAUAGAUGAAACAGUUCUACUUUACAGAUUUUGUCAACUACUUAACAAUAAGGUCCCCAAUAAAAUUUUGAAAAGGAUUCCAUAUUUAAAAGUUUCAUUACCUAAUUUCGUUCGUUGUCGAUGGCAUGUCCAUGUGUCAAAUUUAUUGUAGGUUUUCUAAUUACCUCUGUAGUAAAAAUGGUGCAAAUGUGACUGCGAAGCUCAAAUUGCAAUGAGUGAAAAUUCGAUAAAAAGAGACCAUGAACCAACCUACAUGCAUAUAUAUAUAUAUAUAUAUAUAUAUAUAUAUAUAUAUAUAUAUAUAUAUAUAUAUAUGUAGGUCCCAGGUUGAGUCGUGGUUAACCACAGUAAAUAAGGUACUCAAUACAUAGCAGAGUAAAUUAAUUUAUUUUAUAGAAGCUCCUUCUAUAAAAUAAAUAUAUAUAUAUAUAUAUAUAUAUAAAACUUAGAUAAAAACUUAGAUAAGUUUCGACCAGAGAUUGGUCCAGGCCAUGUCUAACUUAAUAGCACCACCUGAUAGGAUUAUUCGAAUCCUGUUUAAGUCAAGUUUUGUUCAAGUAGUGAGUUCUUGUUGGGUGAGUUGUAUCCAGUUUUGUUCAAGUAGUGAGUUCUUGUUGGGUGAGUUGUAUCCAAUUAUGGGUGGCUUGUCUGGUAUUCUUUGAAGGAAUCUAUCCAGACUCUGUUUGAAGUUGAUGGGAUCCUUUUCCUCUUUGAUCUCCCUCGGGACAAUGUUAAAUAGGGCAGGGCCUGUUGAGGAAAAGAAAUUAUGUUGCAGUGUACAUGUAUGUUGUGAUCUUGAAUUUGGCAGGGGACGUAUAGCCCGUGGUCCAAGUCUCGGAUGAACCUUGAAGCUAAUGUUUAGGUCGUUUGGGCAAAGUUGGCGGUAUAUUUUCCACAUCGUACAAAUGAUGUACAAAUUUUGAGAGUAGGAUGUUAUGGUCUACCCUGUCGAACGCUUUACUGAAGUCAAGGUAUAUGACGUCAGAGUUCGAACCUGUUCCCAAGGCUUUGAGUACAUCUUCAAUGUGGUGUAAGAGCUGUGUUAGACAGUCCCUGCCACAGCGAAAGCCAUGUUGAUUUGAAUUUAGGAGUUUGUGGGUCUCCAGGAAGUCAGCUAUCCUUGAUCUUAACACUCUUUCAAACACUUUAAUGAAGUGGGAGGUGAGUGAGAUUGGGCGAUAGUUGACUGCGAGGGAUCUGUUUCCCUGUUUGAAAACCGGGAUGACCGACUGGGAUAGAAACUUUUUCGGUAUAUAACCUGCGUCUAACGAGUUUCUCCAGAGGUUGGUCAGAGGGACUGCAAGUUGAUAUCUACAUUCCUUCAGGAGACUGGCGGGAAAUCUAUCAGGGCCUACAGCGGAGUAAUGUUUGACCUCAUUUAUUGCUGCUACGAUGUCGGUGGCAGUGAAGGUUAUGUCUGCGAUUUUGUGUUGGGAGUCAGCUUCGUUCGUUUCCCUCACAUCAAUAUCAGUGGGAACACUGAAGACAGAGCAAUAUUGUUUCUGCAGUAUUUCUGCCAUUUCUUUAGCAUCGUGUUGGGGAAUGCCGUUUUCAUCAAUCAAUGGCCCAAUAGGUGAGACAGUGGUUCUAUGCUUAAUUGCAUAAGAAUAGAACACUUUUGGGUUCUGUUUGAUGUUUUUGAUUACCCAUUGUUCCUCCACAGCUCUUUGAUUUUCAAUGGAGGUUUUCAUGUUAGUCUGCAGAUGAAGUUUUUCCAGCUCUAGUCUUUUCAUUGUUGUUGAAUGUGGAUGUUGCGUGUGGGAAUAUUUUAAUUGGUUGAUUUUUUUGUUGAGUCUUUUGAUGCGCCUGAUGAGUGUUUUUUUCUUUUUAGGGAGCCGGUUUCUGUUUGUGUUAGUAGAUUUCUUGGGAGCGUGUUUAGAGCAUGUGUCGGUGACAAUGGUUUCAAAGUGCUGCCACGCGGUCUCAAUAUGAGGGGAAUUGAGAGUAAAAGACCAGUCGAUGGAAGACAGAUCCUUUCUGAUUGUUCCCCAGUCCGCUUUGUGGAAAUUUAUGUUGUCAAAUGGGUGCCAUGGAGUGGGAUUGGCUGGUUUGGUUUUUAUACGUCGGGAAUUAAGAUUGCAGAGUACCAUGUCGUGGUCUGAGAGGAGAGUUUUUUCGACUGAAAUGCUGUGAACGUAGCUAGAGUGAUUGGUCAGUACCAGAUCCAAGAUCGUUUUAUUCUGUCUCGUUUGUUCAAGCACUAGCUGAGUCAGGAAAUACUCAUCCAUCAGAUUAAAGAGCAGUUCUGCUGCUGCCCUAUCUGACGUAGAGCACUUGCCUAACUUCGGAGUAUUUGUGGGCCAGUUCACAUGAGGGAGGUUAAAAUCACCCAUCACUAUUAUGUUUCCGGAGUGGUACUUCCGAAGGAAGGACUUGACUUUGCUAAGGCACUCUUCAAAGUACUUUAGAGGUGCCUGGGGAGGCCUGUAAAGACCAACAAUGGUUAUGUCCUUGGCUUUGUUGUAUACUGAUACCGAUUCACAGUAGCCAUUGGAAAAUGUGUCCUUGGCAUCAAGUGAAAAGGAGUCAUGGAUAAAGAUGGCUGUCCCUCCCUUAUUUCGGUCUGUGCGAUCCGCACGAACAAUGGUGAAAUCUUUUAUUUUCACCUCUGCGUCCAUAUGGGUGUUGUUCAGGUGAGUCUCGGUAAGGAUAAAGAAAGGAAGCAAUGUGCCAUUUCGGCAAGCCAACUCUCUAUAUAUGGGAUCUUCCAUUUUUGGGCAAUAAUUGAUGGGUUGAUGCCACGUACAUUUAACAGGAAUGUCGAGGUAAGGGAAGUUGGUAAUGGGUGAGUGGUCCUUGCGAUUUGCAUAGAUGGUUGGUGAUGGCUCGCUGGAUCUCCUGGCUUAGGUCGGCCUUCAUAUUUUCCAGGUAUGUCAGUAAAAAAGAGUUACUUGUUUGGUUUGCCACUUGGUCAGAGGAUACAUAUUUCAAGUUGGCGUUAUUUGGUGUUUUUUCCUGGUUCUGUCUAUAUAUAUAUAUAUAUAUAUAUAUAUAUAUAUAAAUGGCUGUUCGGCAAGAAAUUACAGUACCCUAAUAUGUCGUCUAACGACUGGAGAGUUCAUGAUAUAUAUAUAUAUAUAUAUAUAUAUAUAUAUGAGUGUGUGUGUCUGUGCAUGUGUGUGCAUGUGUGUGUGUCCAUGCAUGCGUGCGUAUAUAUAUAUAUGUAUAUAUGUGUACUUUCAAAGAAGUCAAAUAAAAUGUCACACUUUAUAAAAAUACACUGUUGUUAUAUUUAAAAGUAGCUUUACGAAUAACUGGAUGUUUAACUAGGAAUUAACAUGCUUGAAUCCUUCAAAUUAUUAAUUCAGUUAAAAACGGACAUCAUUUAAAUGUAUUCAAAUAACACUUAAUUCACAAACUAGCAUAGAAAAGCCACGAUCAAUAUAUCGUGUACGAUUGUAUUAUUGUAUGAUUUUCUUGGAUUUGUAUCCGUCUACACUGGAUCACGAUUAACUUUGGUUUUCCAGAAUUUCUUUGUUUCUUUCUAUAUUUUGAUUCUUUAUCUGCAUAAAUAUGCUAUGAAGUGAUCUAUGAAACCGUCUGUUCAUAUUUUAUGCUAUUCCAUUAGAAUAUAUAUAUACAUAUGUGUGUGUGUAAAUAUAUAUAUGUACACAUAUCUUUGAGUGCGUGUGUGUGUGUGUGUGUGUAUGUGUGUAUGUGUGCGUGUUUGUGAAGGCUCAUGGCUCUGGUUAGAGCGUCGGCCUGACAAUCACGGCGUAGUGAGUUCGAUUCCCGGACCGAACUAAAUAUUGUGUUUGUGAGCAAGACAAUUUAUUUCAUGUUGCUCCAGUUCACUGAGAUGUAGAAAUGAGUUGUGACGUCACUGCUGCCAAGCUGUAUAGGUGUCUAGGUUUACCUUGAAUACCAUCAGUGGCGUAUAGAGCGGAAGGUUGGUACGCAUGGGUGGCAGCUGGACAUCAAUAAGCAAUCUUGCGCCGGAUCUGUACCUCAGAAGGGAACUUUCUAGGUGCAGUCCCAUGGUCGUUCAUGACAGAAAAGGGUUCUUACCCUUAUAUAUAUAUAUAUAUAUAUAUAUAUAUAUAUAUAUACAUAUACAGGGUGCGUAAGGUAUUUGAGUUCAUACCCUUUUUGGUUCAUUGCUGCAUUUGCUAACUCUGUACAAUCUUUGUUUCAGAAAAUAUUAAUGGCAGGACCGCAGCUUACUCAAAAAAUGUAGAGGUAUGCUGUUAUUGUGGUUAUAAAGCAUAGCGAUUUAGAAAUAUCUACAUAGUUUGUAAGGAGCUGGAGACGGAAGAUGGAAAUUCAUCACCAGCAUAAAGGUAUGAAAAGCAUUCUAAACGCUCUGAAAUCAUCAGAACACCUAAAUUUAUCCAGCAAGUUCAACAGAUCAUUGAUUACGAUCCCAGAAAGUCAUAGGAUCAAUUGCAAACGAUUGCCAUGUAUCAGAAUGAACAGUCAGAAAUAUUGUCCACAAAGAGAUCAGAUAUGGGUUUUAUAUGAUGAAGAAAGGUCAAUCUAUCAGAAAAAAGCAACAGAAAAUCACUACAUCAUACCUUAAAGGUUCUUAAAGAAACCGAAAACUGCAGCAGGAGCAGAUUUGAUUUGUUUUUGCUCAAACGAGAGAAAACUUCGACCAUGAUCAAAAUGUUAACAGAAGAAAUGACAGAUGGCUAUGUGCAGACCCUUUUGAAGUUCCAAGUGUUAUGCAUACAAAAUUUUUAGCAAGUGCCAUGGUUUUAGGGGUUGUCAGCAAUGAAGAGCAACCCCUUCAUUUCUUACCUCUUUCCACAAGGCAUUCGAGUUAACUCUGCCACCUACAUUGAUGUCCUGGAAAUAAUUGUUUAGCCCUGGAUAAACAGUGUAUGCAAUUGAAGGCCAUAUGUGUUUCAGUAUGACUCUGCACUAUAACACUUGUCUCUAUAACAUAGGAAUAGAUGGCUGAAAAUUUUCAUGUUCGCAUAACCCCUAAUAUUUGGACUCCUAAUUCCCCAGACCUCAAUCCAUUAGACUAUUACAUGUAGAGCGUUGUUGAGAGAGAAGUCAAUGAACACGUCCAUAACACCAAAUAUUCUUUGAAAGCUGCCGUAGUCAGAGUAACGUCCAAAAUGAUCUAGAACCAUUUGAUUCGAGCAUGUAGAUGAUUUAAAUCUCAUAUAGAAGCAGUUGCUGAAGAUCAAGAUGGUUUUAUUGAAUAACAUUAUAGAAAUGAACCACUACGCCAUAGGCCCAAUGGCAUAUGGCAUGGAGGUUAAGAGCCCGGGCUACUAACCCCUAGAUUCCGAGUUCGAUUCCAGGCAGUGACCUGAAUAAUAAUAAUAAUAAUAAUAAUAAUAAUAAUAAUAAUAAUAAUAAUAAUAAUAAUAAGAAGAAGAAGAAGAAGAAGAAGAAGAAGAAGAAGAAGAAGAAGAAGAAGAAGAAGAAGAAGAAGAAGAAGAAGAACAACAACAACAACAACAACAACAACAACAAUAAUAAUAACAUCGAGAAAUACCUUAGGAGUGAGAACCCAGGUUCGAAAUUUUCCCAAGAAACCUUAUGAAGGCUAGAGGGUAUAUCAGCCGAAACGUUGGUUUAGCAACAAACAAGAUGAGGACAAAUAUCCGUCAAAUGUAAAUAAUGUAAAUAAGGUUUAUUUUUAUUCCCAUAUAUAUAUAUAUAUAUAUAUAUAAACUUAAAACUUAGAUAAAACUUAGAUAUGUUUCGACCAGAGAUUGGUCCAGGCCAUGUCUAACUUAAUAGCACCACCUGAUAGGAUUAUUCGAAUCCUGUUUAAGUCAAGUUUUGUUCAAGUAGUGAGUUCUUCUUGGGUGAGUUGUAUCCAGUUUUGUUCAAGUAGUGAGUUCUUGUUGGGUGAGUUGUAUCCAAUUAUGGGUGGCUUAUCUGGUAUUCUUUGAAGGAAUCUAUCCAGACUCUGUUUGAAGUUGAUGGGAUCCUUUUCCUCUUUGAUCUCCUCGGGACAAUGUUAAAUAGGGCAGGGCCUGUUGAGGAAAAGAAAUUAUGUUGCAGUGUACAUGUAUGUUGUGAUCUUGAAUUUGGCAGGGGACGUAUAGCCCGUGGUCCAAGUCUCGGAUGAACCUUGAAGCUAAUGUUUAGGUCGUUUGGGCAAAGUUGGCGGUAUAUUUUCCACAUCGUACAAAUGAUGUACCGCUCACGGCGACGCUGGAGGGAGUAAAGUUUCGAGGCUUUAAGGCGAUCCCAAUAGUCGAAAGCAGCCAUGCCUUAAAUUUAUUUAGUGAGAGCCCUCUGGGGUGACUCAAUUCUGGAGAUGUUUUGUCUUGUGUGAGGAGACCACAGUGGGCAGCAGUAUUCAAGGUGUGGCCGUACAAAGGAUGAAAAAAGUGGUAUGAUGACACCUUGUUCUCUGGACCGGAAAGUUCUUAAGAUCCAGGAACUCAUCCUACGAGCUGUAUCGACCUUCUUGUUGAUGUGUGCAAUCCAACUGAGAUCGUCAUCAACAAUUACACCCUGGUCUCUGAUAUUGUUAGAGGCUGUGAGCGGUUCCCCUGAAGGAAGAGAGUAUGGUUGUUUUAGUGAGGAAUUUCUUCCAAAAUGCAUCAGCUCAAAUUUUCCCUCAUUCAGUUGCAUUUUGUUUCUGUCUGCCCAUUGACUCACAGCAUAUAGGUCAGACUGGAGUUGAGUUCGGUCUGCUUCUUCAUUGACGAUUUGCUGGAGCUUAGUGUCAUCAGCGAAUAUUUUCACUUUGCAGUGAUGUACGACACUGGAAAGGUCGUUUACAUAAAUUAUGAAGAGUAGCGGACCCAAAGCAGUUCCCUGGGGAACACCGCUGGUGACUUUUGCUGGGUUUGAGUGGACUCCAUCAACUACAACAUGUUGUGUUCUAUUCGCUAGGAAAUACUGAAUCCAGUGUAGAACUUUUCCACGGAUUCCAACAUUUGCCAAUUUUGAGAGUAGGAUGUUAUGGUCUACCCUGUCGAACGCUUUACUGAAGUCAACAUAUAUAUAUAUAUAUAUAUAUAUAUAUAUAUAUAUAUAUAUAUAUAUAUAUAUAUAUAUAUAUAUAUGUAUAUAAAUAUUGUGAAGUCAAAAAUUGUGAAGCAUGACUGUCAACACUACUACAUGAACCCAAAGAUUGCAGAAUUCAAUGCAUGAAAGUACUAGUUCAAUCAGAAUGAAUAUUUAUAUAUUUCAUUUUAUUUUAUUCAAUUAUAUAUAUUAUCUUAUAAUAUAUCAUUAUAAGAUUGUAAAUAAAACGUGAAAAUCAGACAAGGUUGGAAUUCUUUUUAUUAAUAUAUUCUUCUAUACACAAUCACACACAAAUAUAUAUAUAUAUAUAUAUAUAUAUAUAUAUAUAUAUAUAUAUAUAUAUAUAUGCAUGUAUAUAUAUGUGUGUGUGUGUGUGUGUGUAUGCUUGUAUAUAUAUAUAUGUGUGUGUGUGUGUGUAUGUUUAUUUGUGUGUAUAUAUGUAUGUAUGUGUGGUGCAUGCAUAUGUAUAUAUAUAUAUGUGUGUGUGUAGUGGGGUGCGUAUUCGCGCACACAUACCAACAUAUAAACGUCCGUGUGUAUUAUAUUGGUUUUAUACUUGCGACUGUUGUAUGAAAUGGUUAGUUACACAAACCAUAGAACUUGCUUUUUCUCAUUCUAUUAGAUUAUAUUAUAUUCGAUUAUAUCAUAUUCCCUAGAUGGAACAAUAAAGAAAUAUAUAUAAAUGCCAACACACACACACACAUAUACAUAUCCUUAUCGGUUAAACCAGCCAAAUAAUAAUUAGUAGGAACAUCUAUAUCAGUAUUAUUCUAUAAAUUAUAUAAACUGCGAAGCUCUUAAUAUCUAAAGGAUCAUUCAUAUAGAAAUUUAACUAAAGCCACACGAUAUUUAAAAACAACUAACCUUUGAACCAAAUACAUCGCAGGAAACACCGGAUUUUCUAAAAUCCAGACUAAACGAAACAAUAACCAAAUUCCUUCAAACCACACGUUACUUUAUUUAAACUCGUCCAUCUGAAUAAACUACUGUUAUAAAAGCCAGUGUGAUCUGAUUAAACUACUGUCAUAAAAGCCAGUUUGAUCCUGGCUGGCAUAUAUUUGGCCAUAUGUGUCUGUUGUUGACCUCGAGCUAAAUGUGACAACAACAAAAGUAACAAUAGCCAUGGAAAUGUCUGUGGUUAGAUUAACAUUUCAUUGAUUAGAGUUUCUGUACUGUUCAUUAUUUUGGUACGAUAAUUUUUCUACAGACAUCAAAUCAGCUUUUCUGCUUCGUUAAUUGUUUCUCCUUUGUUCUUUCUAACUCUCCGCCCACUCUCUCUCUCUCUCUCGCUCUCUCUCUCUCCCUCUCCCUCUCUGUCUAUAUGUCUAUAUUUCCAUCUUUAUAGCUAUUAUUCCUCUAUCUAAAAACCCGUCUAUCAGUCCGUCUCUCUAUCCGUCUAAUUAUCUUUAUAAUCUAUCUGUCAGUCUAUCUAACUAUCCAUCAUUAUCUUUUCUCUGUGUAUGAAUUUACAAUCCCUGCGACUUAACAUUACUACUACAGAACCAUUUAAUGAAAAUACUAAUCUUUCCAUCUUCUGGGAUUUAACUUUCUGGGCGGAUUUCCUUAAAGAAUUUCGCACAAUAUAUUCACAUGCUUGAGAUACUGAAGUCAACUGUCCUAUUUUCUAUCUUUCAAUCAGGAGAGAAGGCAACGUGCAUAACCCUUUAUAAGGCUUCCGAAACUGUUGGGAAAGAAUUAGAAGUAUAUCGUGAAACAAACUUCAAGUACUUUGCAACGGCCUUGGCUCCUCUUAGGCCAUGUUUCCAGAUGGGAAUGUUAAACCAAACGACGUUUGACUAGUGUAGCGGUUGAGGUCAUGGUGGGAUUUGAAAUCAGAAUACAAAGCACAAGUUCCGGAAUUCUUUCUUUUACAAAUAUCUUUCUUUCUCACUCUCUCUUUCGCUUUUUAUAUAUGUAUGGGUGCGCAUAUACGUGUGGUUGUGUGUACGUGUGUGUACCUUAGUGUACGUGUGUGUGUGUGCGUGGACGCGCUUGAGUGUUUGGGGUUUAAGAACUUUUAUUCAUACACUUUUUUGGAAUAUGGUCAAGAACAGCAAUAAAGUUAACAAUUAUGAAAAAUAGCUGAAUCAACAAACGUAAUUUUUCCAAGAAUGUUCCAGCUCAAAACCUUUACAAGACAGCAAACAAGACAGCAAAACCUUUACAAGCAGCAAACACGCUUUCAAGAAAGACAAUAUAUCUAAACCUGAAGAAUGGAUGCGUAACCAUUCGGGUUUUUAUCACCAACACUAAUAUAGAAUAGUUUAUGACAAAUGAUGAGAAGUAUUCUCAAAGAAUGGUUUUUGAAAAUAUUUAUAAAUUAUAGAAAGAAGACUGUAGAAAACCGUAUCUCUCCAACCGGUUCUGCAGAUACAAAGAGGAAAUGCGGAAGGAAUAUCCUUCGGCGAAUCUCCCCAGGAAGAAAGAUAAAAUAAUGUUACCAUCAAAGUCGUAAAGCAACCACAAAGACAAAAAUAAAGAAAAGGCAUCGGAGAGGCGAUGCAUACCCUGCGCGCACACAAGGGUAAAACAAACUUUAAUUUAAUAAAUACAUUCUCAGGGGAAUUCAUAUUUCAGCAAAAUGACAUCAAUAAUUAUUUCCCCUGCUUAUUGCUUAUGCAUAUAUAACAAAGAAAAAAACAUUUUGAUUCUCCCAUCUGUCAGUUUUGAAGAUAAUCAAACCAAUAUUCAACGAGUUUGAGCCACUCACCCAACGAGUAUUUCUGUUGACUGUGGUGAAAAUCCGUUCAGCCGUUUUCUAGUAAUUUUGCAAACACACAGACAAAGACGAGCGACUACAAUAACACUGCUUCGUUUAUGCGUGCAGAGUUAAUAAGUCUCAAACACAGAAAUUCAGUACGAGAUGAUGGUCAAAAGUUCGGAAGACGUGCAGAUAUUGAAAUUAACACGACAUGACCUUGAUAUAGAUUUGAAACCUAAAGAAUAAGAAAACCAAUGACUGCCCAGGAGAGAAGGAUCAAUAUUUAAUCAGUUUUUGCAACGAGAGAAGAACAAUUGAAUUUUAGGAAAAACAUAUUUUUGAAAUACUAACAAAAGCGACUUAAUUUUGGUGCUCGCAACGACAAAUAUACAAAGUUAUUAUAUCUAACAAUCUAAAACUUUGAUAGAUACUUUUAGAUUCAUCAAAAUGAACAUGGUUACCGGAUAGAACAAUCAAAAUGUAAGAAAAGAAAACUAACAAAUCUAUAUUAAUAAAAAGAAAAUAGUUAAAAGAACAAUCAAACGCACAAAGAAUCAUAAAUUUACAGCAUCUGAACCAAAUUUGAAUCGCAAUGAUAAUUUUAACAUUUUUUCGAAAAAUUAAAACACAUAAGGAAAUUGUUUGAUAAAGACGACGAUGAAUCUAUAGUAAAAGAAAGCAAAUAUGAUCCAUCAAUAUACAGGGAUAGAGAACUUAAUUUACUUUACAUUCGGUUUUCUACCGGAAAAGUAGUAUACGCUCUAAUUUUAGCAACACAAUCAGAAAAAUAUUAGAUCAUUGAAAACUGAUUCCGAAUUGAACAGAAACUUAUGAAGUAAUUGUUAUAAUUAUAAAGGAUACAGACUGCAAUAUCAUUAUCGCGUCAUCUGUUCUUAAAGACUUGUUCCAAUCAAUUUAUACCGUAAAGACAUAAUCGAUGAGAAAGGCGACUAAUAAUUUUUUUGUAAUCUAAACAGGUACAAGUAAUGUAGAUUACCAAAAAUCUACGAAUGUAAUGUUAUAAGAGAUGCAUGUAAAUAACUGACACCCGUUUUUAAAUGUUCCUUUAAAAUGAAGACCAGUAGCGGUAAGUACUUCCUGUAAAACCCAUCGAUUGAUUAAAACAUUAGAUAUAUUACUGAAACCAUGUUUGAAACAUAUACAGAGAUUCAUAAGUAAUACCUUAUCCAAGUCUGUUCAUAAACUUUUAUGUAUGGCGUAAGAUGAAACAUUAAUAGCUUCAUUAGAUGUGCUUAACAGUACGCGAAUUAACAAUAUGAAAUUAGAGUAAUGGUGAGUGGCUGUGUGGUAAGUAGCUUGCUAACCAACUACAUGGUUCCGGGUUCAGUCCCACUGCGUGGCAUCUUGGGCAAGUGUCUUCUGCUAUAGCCCCGGGCCGACCAAUGCCUUGUGAGUGGAUUUGGUAGACAGAAACUGAAAGAAGCCUGUCGUAUAUAUGUAUAUAUAUAUAUGUAUGUGUGUGUGUUUGUGUGUCUGUGUUUGUCCCCCUAGCAUUGCUUGACAACCGAUGCUGGUGUGUUUACGUCCCCGUCACUUAGCGGUUCGGUACUUAGAAUAAGUACUGGGCUUACAAAGAAUAAGUCUCGGGGUCGAGUUGCUCGAUUUAAGGCGGUGCUCCAGCAUGGCCGCAGUCAAAUGACUGAAACAAGUAAAAGAGUAAAAGAUCACCAAACUACAUAGGAAAAAUAUUAUUGAAAACUUCAACUGAUUCUACAUCCAAUACCUUUAAUUUUGACCAGGAGAGAUACAGGCUAACACUUGGAACAACAAGCGGAACCAAGUUAGCUGUGAUGUGCUGAAAUGAUAUAAAAGUAUAUGAUAGUCUAGGCCAAAAUAUGGAAAUUACUUUUUACAUUUACUAAAAGAUUGAAGAAGAUAUUUAUAUGAUGGUUUUUAACCUAAAGAGAGAAUAAAAGGCUUAGAUAGAAUUUCCGAAAUUAAAGAUACUCGUGAACUGUUCUAAGAAUAAUAUCCAAUUUACUAUAGUGUAUAGCAAAGAUACAUUACUUUAUUAACAAAAAUAUGGGUUAUAAAAAAAUUCUGAAUCUGCUGGAGAUAGAUUUAUAUUAAAAGCCAACAAACACGAGGCAAUAUUUUCUUUGUAAUUCAUAUCAUCCGAAAUAUGGGAAAACCAAUAUUCCGUUCAAACUAACUGAAAUAAUAUAUACUUUCAUAUCAAAUACGAAACCUGAGGAGAAAGACCAACAGAAGAAAAAGGUAGUUUAACUGAAAGACGUUAUGCACUCUCAUUAAAAUAACUAAUCAGAGUGUGCAGAGGCAACAGAUAUCUAUGAUUUACAAACUGCAAGCGCUCCAUCUUACCUUUUAACAUGUAAGUCUAUCAAUAUUGAAGCAUUUAAUAUUAUUCAUCGAAACUUAUUACCUACGCCAUAGCGAAGGCGGAGGUGCUGUUUUCAGUCGUGUUUCUUUGUUUGUUUAUCCGUGGACAAGCUACCUGAAGAACAGCUGGAAGGAUUGGAAUGAAACUUUCAGGGAUGUUUGGCCUGGUGACUGGCACGAAUUCAUUAGAUUUUGGAAACGACCCGAUACCGGACAAGGAUUCUGGAUUAUUUUCUCGUUUGUUUUACUUAAUUUUUGAGAGCGGUCAGGUUCAUUUUUAGUAUUCUUGUUUGUGAGUGCAGAUAUUCUCAUUUUAAUAAUCAUCCCUGGGUAAUCGUUGAGAGGAUGCUGGGGUUGCCUUGGUGGAGGUUUGCGCUCUCUAAGUACGCUUGUUAGUUUUAAAAUACGAUCUAAGAAUGAGAGGAAUUCUUAUCAGCCAGCAAAUGAAUUACAAAAGUCAUUAAAAAGAACAAAAAUUUAACUACCUACAAACAAUUUUGCAUUUAAACCUACAGUUCAAAAAUGCAUGCUGAAACUAUUAAUUAUUUGAAGGUUCGGAUUUUAGUAUAAAAAUUCACAAAAUGUUAACAUAAAGAUAGUUUAACCUACUCAUCUGGAAUCUUUACAGUAUACUACGCCGUAUGUGUGACGAGAGGUACCUUAAGCCAAGCAGGCAUAUCACCAAUUAAACGGUUAUCGACAACACAUAGGUGAUAGAAAAACUAGGAUAAGAUCACUUAAAAUUUAAACCAAUGUACAGGAACUUGGCCGUGGCCCAAUUUUAAUCUAUUCCCACAAUGUAUAGACAUACGUCUUAUUUUGAGGCAGAAAAUCACGGAGGAGAUCAAUACACCUUGGGUUUGAAAACUAUAGAAUCUUAUGUAUUGAAGCUUUGAUAUUGUCGUUCUUUCGCGGACGAUUGUUGUAUCUGACUGACUGAACCACAAGAGGAAAAUUUUCCUUAAUGGAACUAUUUUGAGAGUAACUUUAUUCUACGUACAGAGUUUAAAUAUCUAUAGUGGUGAUUACUGCCAUCGCUCCUUAACCUGAUGCUCUGAAUUAUUGCUGGCAUUUGUCAGUGCCCAGAAUUUUAUUCCAAUUUUAGAAACAGGUGCACAAACCACAAGUUUUCUUUCCAACAUAUGGACAAGAAUUAAGCCAUAAAAUAUGGCUAGCCAAUUUAGGGGUCUGAAGACAGUCAGCACACGAUAUACAUUCAAGCCUAGAAAUUCACACCAUAUAUAAAUCGAUCAAAGAGAUGCAAGUUAUGGGUAGCCGAAAGAUGUAACGUUCCUUUCAGAUCCAAGAAUUUGCCAAACUAUCUAAUUCCUGAUCUAAAACUUUUAGCAAUUGCAAGCACAUGAGCAAAUUUCUUUUGUCGAACUAGAUUACACCACCCUUUCCGGAUAAGGCAUGCUAUCUCUCAGAAUUUGGUUUUCUCAUAGUUGAACUAUUCUACACCUGCUAUAUUAAUCAUGAUUCCGACUGUCAAAUGAAAAACAGCUCCUGUGUUUUCUUUUCUUUCGUUUAUUUAUAUGUCUUUUAUUUUCUCGUCCAGUUCUUUUUCAUUCCAAAUUUGCAUUCACCUUUCUCUUUUCUCUCAUGUUUUCUCAUAUACCAACGUCCUUACUCGGAUGUUCAAAUAAAACCAGGUAUGCUGUGAAUUCGAUCUUGAAUAAUUUCUUAGAAUCAAAAGACAUGAUAUAUAAAUCAGCCGAAUUACUAUUUCCACACCAGGAAUAUAUUAGGAGCUCAUAUUUCAAUUCAGCGUAUAUUAACUAUAUAUCUCACUGGAUGAAGUACCUUUUCGUGGGACCUAAUAAUGACGGGACAGUAAACAGCAUAUACACAAACACACACAUAUAUGCAGGCACACACUGAUGCACAAACAUACAUGCACAUUUGCACACAUACACAUGUACGUAUAUAUAUGCUUGUGUGUGUAUGCAUAUAUAUAUAUUUAUAUCUUAUAUGUAUGUAUAUAUAUAUAUAUACAUAUAUAUAUAUAUAUAUAUAUAUAUAUACAAAAUGAGAAAAUGGAGAAACAUACCUAAAUCAAUCAUCAACCAUCAGAUAAUAGCCAAUCAAUACUUUAUUAAACCAUUACACAACAGCAAUUAUAUUAUACAUAAUAUAUUACAAAUAUAACAAGACAUAGAAAUAGAAAUAGAAUGUUAUCCCAUGGAGGGUUGAAUUUACAACCCCUAUCUAAUUUUAUAUAUAUAUAUAUAUAUAUAUAUAUAUAUAUAUAUAUAUAUAAAUACAAAAUGGGACAAUAACGCAAAACAUCCAGACAGCUAGGUGAUACAAAAAAGGAACAACAAUACACCCAGAUAGACGACACAAAACAACAAGGACGUGUCAUUCGAAGCCCUCUAUCCUCAGUCAAACACCAGAUUAUCGUCGCAAUUUCGGCUGAUUAUUCUUUAGAUUGCUCCAAUCUGGCCAGCCCAAAGGAAAAACGAAUCUUAGAGCAUUAGAUUUCUUGGAAGAAAGCAGCGAAUGUAUACAAAAACAAGGACGCAAAAAAACGGACAAAAUUACACAAAUAAAUACAAUAAUAAAUACAAUAAAAAUAAUAGCAGGACAUAGCAACAGGGGUCAUCGAAAAAGGUUUCCGUGAUUUUAUUUGUCAAUUCCACUGGCUACAAAUAAGCGAUCUGUAUGAAAUCAAAGUAGGUCUGUAUAUGAAUUUGCUUUAACGAUACUGAUGGCAAUGGAUGACAAUGAUUGUUAUAUUAACAGAAUUUUAUUUAGUGGUGAAGCAACAUUCCACAUAAAUGGUUGUGUUUACCGUCAUAACAGCCGGAUAUGGGGAGCUCAGCCACCCAAUGAAGUUUUCCAGUACAUCCGGGAUUCGCCCAAGGUUAAUAUGUGGUGUGGACUCCUGCAUGAUCGUGUUGCCGGCCCUUUCAUGUUUUCAUGCCGGCCCUUUCAGAAAACACAAUUAGGGCGCUAGUGAAUUGAACAUUUAUGCAUUCCCUCAAAUUGCAGAUAUUGAAAGAGAAAAAGGAGUAAGUGUGAUUUUGCAGCAGGACGGAGCGUCGGCUCACUACAGCCACAAUGUGCGACAAGCUCUCAAUAACAGAUUCCUUGGCCGUUGGAUUGGAAGGAAUGGUCCUGCUUUGUGAUCAUCUAGGAGCCGUGAUAAACUUCUAUGGACGUUUUCUUUUGAGGUUAUCUUAAGAACAUUGUCUACGAGAAAUAAAAUCCCGGAUCUGCAACAUUUAAGAGAGAGAAUCCCCGUGGCGAUAGCGACUGUGGGUCCUGAUAUGAUUCAGCGCAACUGUAGGGAGUUCAACUAUCGCUUAGUUGUUUGCCGUGCAACAAAAGAAGCUCAUAUCGAAACCUACUAAGUAAUGUAAAAAAAAGUUUAAGAUUUCCUGUGUAUUUUGGUGUAUAAAUAAAUAGCAUACAUUUAAUACAGAUUUAGUUAUUCCAUUUUCAACUCUCGGAAACCUUUUUCGAUGACCCCGUAUAUACAAGUACAUAUGGAACUGGCAACCUGUCAGGUAAAAUUCUGUGGUCGAUAUAAUGGCUUAAAAAUUGAAGAGUGUUGUGCCCCAGUAUUACAUUAUUCAAACUCUGAUACAAGAAAUUAAAAUACGACAAUACCAUAUAGCAAGACCGAAAUCAAAACACGUAUCAUUAAAAGUGCUAAAUCAUUAUAAUUGGCUAGAUUUCUAUUUAUUUGAAACAUUACGAUCAACCAUUUAACACAAAAUUAUUACAAGUUACAUUGAAAUAUCUCCUAUUCUUGAACGUUUAAUCGAUUUAUUGAUUAAUUAAUUAAUUUUACUUAAACAAGAAAGUCGUUAAUAUUGUAUUGUCUACGACAAUCAGGCUGUCUCUAUUGUAGCGAGAUAACAGCAUAGCAUAGGAUAUAAUCGGAUAAUUUUUAAGAUAAGAAGUGAACUUUUAUGAACGAAGAGGAAGAAGUGAAAUAUUGAGAAUUAAUUUUGCGACGGUGGUGUAUUCAAGAAACUACAAGAGAAUUAUGCCAAAAAAAUAAAAGUAAUAGCGUAAAAGCAAUAAAAUCAAAAUAGCCACUUUAAAGUAAAUUGCACUCAGGAACUCACUCUCGGAUACAUAUAGACAUUAUAUAGAGUGUAUACAUACUCAGUACACAUUAUAUAUAUAUAUGUAGGUGUGUAUAUAUAAUUUUAUAUGUACACAUAUGAUAUAUAUACACACACACACAUAUGUAUGUAUAUAUAUAUAUAUAUAUAUAUAUAUAUAUAUAUAUAUAUAUAGGGAGAAUUCAUGAAAAAAAAAACAAAAGACGAAGACAGGUGGUGUAGAAAAUAAACAGAUGUAUUAGUUUAACGCUCGGGAAUUGAAAAAGUAUUUAACGUUUCGAGCCUACGCUUUUCCACAGAAAGGAAUACAGAAAGAAACAAGGAGAGAAUAAAAUGUGUGUAGUGGCUACCGAUUUUUCACGGUGAAUGCUGGACAGAAGGGUCACACAGGAGAGCUAAGAAGUAGGGGAAGUAUCAAAGAAGUAGUGAUCUCAAAACGAAAGAGCGCAUGUGUGUAAGAGAGUACGUAUGUGCGUGUGAAAGAGGGCUGGUGAUCCUGACGUGUGGGUGUGUGUAUGUGUAGGUAUGAAAAUGUGGGGAUAGGAAUUGGUCAGUGCUGGUGUAUGCGUGGUGGUGUGUUGUGAUGUGAUGUAUUGUGUGGUAUGGUGUAGUGUGGUGUGGUGUGAUGGUGUGGGUAAAAUACAGGUGGGUGUGGGUUAGGCUGUGGGCUAGCAGAGGAUGGGGGUAGAGGUGGGGUAUGUGGGAGAGGGUGUAAGCGAUGUGAUGGGAAUGAUAGGAAAGGUGGGGUAGGAAUGUGUAGAGUUGGGGUGGGCUUAUGGGAGAAGGUUGACGAUGAAGGGGGAAGGGAAGGUACGUAUGAGAGAAGAGAGAAAGAGAGUAGGGGUGAAGAGUACUAGGAGUGAAGAGAAGUAGGAGCAAUACAGGAGAGGUGGAUGGGAGGAAGUAGGAGGGAGGUAGAGAGAGCCAAGGGGAGGUGAGUUGAGCCCAUGUGGCGCAAAGGAGCGAGAAAAAAGAUUAUACACACACACACACAUAUAUAUAUAUAUAAAUGGGUGCAGGUGUAGCUGUGUGAUAAGAAGCUUACCUCCCAACCACAUGGUUCCAGGUUCAGUCGCACUGCGUGGUACUGACCAAAGCCUUGUAAGUGGAUUUACCAGACGGAAACUGAAAGAAGUCCGUCGAAUGUGUGUGUGUGUGUGUGUGUGUGUGUGUGUGUGUGUGUGUGUGUGUGUGUGUGUGUGUGUGUGUGUGUGUGUGUUUGUGUGUGUGUGUGUAUUUGUGUGGGUCUGUUUUUGUCUCCCAACAUCGCUUGACAACCGAUGCUGGUGUGUUUACGUCCCCGUAAACCAGCGGUUCGGCAAAAGUCACCGAUAGAAUAAGUAGAAGGCUUACUAAUAAAAAAGUUCUGGAGUCGAUUUGCUCGACUAAAGGCGGUGCUCCAGCAUGGGUGCACUCAAAUCACUGAAACAAAUAAAAGAAUAAUAUAUAUAUAUAUGUAUAUAUAUAUAUAUAUAUAUGUAUAUAUAUAUAUAUAUAUAUAUAUAUAUAUAUAUAUAUAUAUAUAUAUAUAUAUAUAUAUAUAUAUAUACAUAUACACACGCACAUACACAUGCAGAUAAUAGGCAGAGAGGAAGAGAGAAAUAGACAGACACACGAAGAGCAAUGAAGCAUAGAAAGCGGUAGAGACGGUAAAUAAGUAAGAAAUAACUACAUAAAUUUUCCGAUCAGAUGACUUAUCUGACAAAAUAUUCUUUAACACCGCACCGAGAAUGGAUAAGAAAAGCAAUAAUAUCUUAAUUUUAAUUUAAUUUUUUUUUUGAUCGAUCAUGCUGAAAUAAUUAAUCAAUCGAUUAAGCGUUAAGAAGUAUUGGAAAAUUCCAUUGUAAUUUGCUAUGCGUUGUGGUUGAUAUAAAUGUUUUAAUUAAUUGAACUUCUGACAAUUGUAAAGACUUCGGUACUUUUAGCUUUCUUUGUGUUCCACUUCUGGUUUCCAUGCUUCAAACACAAUCAUGCCAGGGCACAAAUAUUAGAUAUUUUGCUGAUAACGUCAACCACAUGAAUUUAAUAGUAAGCUCUCUCUCUCUCUCUCUCUCUCUCUCUCUCUCUCUCUCUCUCUCUCUCUCUCUCUCUCUCUCUCUCUCUCUCUCUCCGUAGGUACGUACAUAUAUGUUUGUAUGUAUGCAUAUAUUUUAUUUAUUACACUAUUGUAUGACUGAGCGCCUUCGCGUCGAUUCGAUUCGAUUCGGUUGGUUUCGUUUCGUUUCUUCUUCUUCUCUAAACUGUUUUAUAUAUUUUAUAUAUAUAUAUAUAUAUAUAUAUAUAUAUAUAUAAACACAAAAAGAGAGAGAAAGAUGGGUAAAUAGACUGACAGAUAGAAAAACAUGUGAGACACACAGAUAGAUAGAUAGAUAGAUAGAUAGAUAGAUAGAUAGAUAGAUAGAUAGAUAGAUAGAUAGAUAGAUAGAUAGAUAGAUAGAUAGAUAGAUAGAUAGAUAGACAGAGAGACAGAUAGAUAGAUUAAAAAAUUCUUGUUAACUCAGACUCCAAUUUCUUUGUAACAGUCUUUACAAUGUUGUAUACAGGGUGCAAAAUUGCGGCCAACAGGAAGUUUAUAGCAAAUAUGUCUGUACAAUCUCUGUUGAGUACGUCGCUUUGUAAAUACUCAGUUAUUAUUCUUAAAUAACAUAUACAGGUGGCGCAGGCAUAUCUGUGUGAUAAGAAGUUUGCCUCCCAACCACAUGGUGCCAUGUUCAGUCCCACUGCGUGGUAUCUUGGCUGAAUGUUUUCUACUAAAGCCUCGAGCUGUUCAAAGUGGAUUUGGCUGACGGGAACUCAAAGAAGCCCGUAGUAUGUGUAUUUUGCAUAUAUAUAUAUACAUACAAAUCAAAGUGUGUGUCUGUGUAUGUUUGCGUUUGCGUCUGUACAUAACAGCCGGUGUUGGUGCGAUUAUACCCCCGUAAGAGACCGACAGAAUAAGUACCAGUACUUGAAACAAAACAAGUGCUGGGAUCGAUUCCUUCGGCUAAAAUUCUUUAAGGCCAUGUCAUACCUUGGCCAUAGUCUGAUGUCUGAAACAAGUAAAAUAAUUAAAGGAUGUAAACACGCAUACGCACUUAUAUAUAUAUAUAUAUGUGAGUGUGUGUGUAUUUGUAUGUAUAUAUACAUUCACACAUAGAUUUACACAAAAAUACAUACGUAUAUACAGAGAUACACACAUCGGCUUUCUUCCUUGCUCAUAACCAGCCAUCUCACACGAACGCACGCAUGCACUCACAUAUGUAUGUAACAAAAGCUUUUGUAAAUACUCGCACAUUUAAAUAGACAUGAAUUGCAUAAGACACAUUAAUUACAAUCUCCUAAAUGGAAGUAUUUAAAUGCUGACAGUGGUCUACAAUUAUUUUGAAAUUGCUUCUGGCUAUGACUGAUUUCUAUGCAAAAUAUAUUAACGGAAAGAAUAAAUCUCUAAUGUAGCCAUAGAAUGGAAUCUCACUGUAUUUUGUUAAUAAAUUCUUUCGGAGACAGUGCUGCCAUACAGAAAACCUAGCUCAUAUUUUGUUUCAUUGAGUCAUAUAUAAUGUAUAAAUACAGUGAUAAAUAGAUAGUUAGAUAGAUAGAUAGAUAGAUAGAUAGAUAGAUAGAUAGAUAGAUAGAUAGAUAGAUAGAUAGAUAGAUAGAUAGAUAGAUAGAUACUAGCACAAACAUGGUAUUAUAAAGAUCGCGCAAUUUCGUUGUCAUUUGGGUGAGGACAUGAUGGUUAGUGCAUCUUCAUGCAAAUAUACUAAAAUGAAUUUCAGUGGAACUGGCAUAUCUCAUGCUUUUAAUGUGUGUGUGUGUGUGUCUGUGUGUGUAAAAUAAAAUUUACUUGGAAACGUAUUCGUGGCGUUCAAUCAUAAUAAUAUAAAUGAUAUAUAUAUAUAUGCAUUUAUACACACCUCUAUGCACAUACUUACAUGUACUUGUAUAUACAUACGCAUAUAUGGGUACAGUACCUCAUAGAACGUAAACAACAUGAAAUACGAAGUACGAAAACAUGGAAUGCGAACUUGUUUUUGCGAACAACGGAAGAAACAAAUGGAAAACUAGACAAGUAGCAUAAAGAAAUAUCCUUCAUCAGUUUUCGACUGUUUUAUCUUCUCCGCAUUUUGAACAAUUACGACAAGAUGCGCCUUCGACAAAACAGUUGCUCCCGCAAAGCAAAUUAUAUCGAAUUUGGGAUUUAUGGAGGGUAACUAAAACAGGACAAAGAAUACAAACAGUAAGGGUUGCUGAGCCAUAACGAGGUGAGGUGGCGAACGCUGGAGGAACAAGCUUGGACAAAAUCAAAAACAAGCAAUGCCCAUGUUGGAGAUUUAAAAUAUAUAUAUAUACUGACAAUUUACCCAUCGCACCCUGUAUAUAUGAAUGUCUAUGUGUAUUUUUUCUGCUUGUCCCCUACCAAGUGCUUCCCAACCAGUGUUGAUUUGUUUACGUCGCCAUAGCGUUGUGAUUUGGUAAAAAAUAUUGAUUGAAUAAAUACAAUAGUUAGAAAAUAAUCUCACGAUUCUAUUUGUUUGACUAAACCUUUCAAAGCGGUGCCCGAGUGUAGCCGCCUCCGUUGUCUAUCGAUCACUAGAACUUGUGGUAUUGAACCAUAACCGGUUCUUCAUAGCACGUUGGCAGUGAUGAUCAAAAGAUCCCUGCGCCUAUUGUCUUCUUGCUUCUAGCUUCUCACAUUUCUCUUGCUACAUAAUCGGCAAGAGGUUCUUUCUACUGCAUCCUGAGAACUGCUUUCUUUCUCUUAUACUGAUACCAGCAGUAUCGCCCGGCGUUGCUCGGGUUUGUUUCGACACUUUAAAAUUGAAAUUUUUGAAAAGUUAAAAUUUGCAUUAUGUAUCUUGAACAUUUUUCUGGUUGAAAUACACCGAAAAAUGGCGACACAGCAGUCAAAAUAUCGUAAAAAAUAUGGAUUUUCAUAGAAAAAAAACACGCUUUUGAUGUAAAUAAUUUUUGGUGUUAACAUGGUCCGAUUUGAAGUUUUUCCUCUACGGAAGGAAGAGCAAGCCUUCUUCUACCAUACUCUCAAUUUUGGUCAGCUUGCGCCGCAGGGUCUCGGAGGAGAUAGUGUUAGUUGAAGGAUACCAAACCUGCCAUACACAGACAACUUCAGCUUUAUAUAUAUAUAGAUAGAUAAGCAUUUUCCAUACUGAUCGGUGAUGGAAUACUAAGAGUUAAUGUGUCAAUCUAAGGUUCUGUAAUAACAUUUGAUUAUGGGUUGGAAAGUGGAACAAUUUACCAGUGAAUCGGAUUCACGUCACCAAGAGGAAUGGUAAAAGAUAAAAUCUGUAAAACGAUAAUAGAUACAGGUUUUGCAGACCAUAUUCAGAUGCAGGUGGAAAAGUCUAUUCUAAAAUUGGAAAUUUCAGCUGUCUAAUUUUACUGUUUCCUGAGCGAGGUAAAACCUGACACCAUCCUUUUAAACAAAUUUCAAUACACAUCAUUUCCUCUGUAAAAAUAUAUAUAUCUGAAAGAAGUGUAUGUUUUCUUAUAUCUUAGGACCUUAUAACGAUAGGAUAUUUAUGUUGUAUGCCAUAGAUUUGCUCAGUAUGGAAGACUAAGUGGCAUUUCAUAUUUGAUGUUUACUUUCUUUACAGGUAUUGAGAGAAUAAUAUGUAAGAAAUAGAGACAGAUUCCAAGGAACAG
rnacentral:lncRNA from 1 species